GACGAACGCUGGCGGCGUGCCUAAUACAUGCCAGUCGAGCGAAGUUUUUCUGGUGCUUGCACUAGAAAAACUUAGCGGCGAACGGGUGAGUAACACGUAAAGAACCUGCCUCAUAGACUGGGACAACUAUUGGAAACGAUAGCUAAUAUCGGAUAACAGUAUUUCUCGCAUGAGAGAUAUUUAAAAGUUGGUUAUGCUAACACUAUGAGAUGGCUUUGCGGUGCAUUAGCUAGUUGGUGGGGUAAAGGCCCACCAAGGCGACGAUGCAUAGCCGACCUGAGAGGGUGAUCGGCCACACUGGGACUGAGACACGGCCCAGACUCCUACGGGAGGCAGCAGUAGGGAAUCUUCCGCAAUGGGCGAAAGCCUGACGGAGCAACGCCGCGUGAGUGAAGAAGGAUUUCGGUUCGUAAAGCUCUGUUGUUAGGGAAGAAUGGAUAUGUAGUAACUAUACAUGUAAGAGACGGUACCUAACCAGAAAGCCACGGCUAACUACGUG
rnacentral:rRNA from 1 species